UCUAAAAAUCCACGACAUUUAUUACAAGUGAGAAAAGAAAGAUAAAUAAAAAAUAACGAACAAUUCUAAUUAAGUCUCCUAAAAUGGAAUUUACCAAUGUUUACGAAUAAAUCCGUUUGCAUUGUUAAGAUCUGAACACACUGAAAUCGAAUCAAAUUUGCUUUCAAAGGAAAUUUCUGCCUUUAGUAAACAAAAGAAUUUGGAUAAAAAUUGAGCAAACGAAAUAAUGUCUACUAACUCUCGACUAAUUCUUGUAUAGUAUCGACGGCCGCAUCAAUUUCCAGAGACUGCAAAUCGUCUUUGCCGGCAAGACCACAUUUCUUCGCCACAUAGCGACCAAUAGCUGAGGAUUGAUGCAUUCUCUUUCCGUCUACUUCGAGCACAGUUUUGGCCAAUCAUUUCUAUCGAUACGUUCAUCCACAAACUCGAUAUCAGCAUAGGCGAACAAAAGGCGAAUUGGCUCAGCUAAUGCUGUUAGGUGAAAAUUUACAGGAUCUGAGAGGAGGAGGAGGCCUAAGCUCGAGAAGCAUCGAACCUCAGCAGAGCAACCUUGGGAUAAAUAUUUUUUAUUUAUAUAAAAUUAAUAGUUUUUUUUGUCUCAAAAAAUUAAAAAAUACUUAAAGAAAAAAAAAUCAUUCACAAUUGUAUAGAAAUUGAAUUUUGUCAAGCUAUUUUUUGGAUAUGAUUAAAUUACUGAAUAUCUAAUUAAAAGUAAAAUUCUAAAAGUUUGAUGUACCGGUCAGAAUUAACUUUAGAAAUAUUGAUUAUUUUGAGCACAGUUUUAAUUUAUAAAUCUUAUGUUUGUGUGUUACAGUAUCAUCACGUAACUUUAUGAAUAACUCCGCUUGUUGCGCAUCGGGUCGGUGAAUCAGAAAUAAUUUUUUUCAUUAUCUUUGAAUGCUUUUCAAAUGUCCUGCGCAGAAUCAAAGCAUAAUAUUAUCGCGCGAUCGUAUCCGUAUUUUUGUGAGAGGAAUUAAAGGAAAAUUACACUAUUAGCUCCUCAAUACACAUAGUCAAAAUACGCGAUCUCGGCGACGAUAGCUUCUCACAAAGUUAGCGCAACGAGAGAACCAAUUGGCAUUGCGGAGAAGCGACUACAAUAACUUGGAUACAUUCUUUACAUUAUACCUUUUUUUUAGAAAGAACUACGCGUAGAAAGAACGUGCGCGCACGUUAGCCGAAGACCAGGAUUCAUAGUCGAUUCUUAUAUUUAAAACCAUUCUAAGUAUCAUCUUAAAUAUCAUCUUAAAUAUUAUAUAUAUGAUACUUAAGAUGGUCUUGAAUAUAAGAAUCGACUAUGAAUAAUAUGAGCUUUAUAGUAAAAAGGCCGGCAUGGCCGCUCUCAGAUUUCUCUCUGAUAGAAGAAACAAAACGCAUUGCCAGUAAUUUUCACUUUUGCCAGCUGUAUUACUUUUACUAGUAAUAUCCAAACUCAUUUUCAAACAGACUAAAUGUCUCAUAUAUUUCUUAAACAGUUUUCAUUUGUCGUCCGUGACGUGAUGUCCUUUUGCGUUAUUGAACUUUAAAUAUGUCAAAAUUUUGAAUUAUCUAUUUAUAUCAAACUAACUGAACAGAAAAACAAAUAUUUUAAAUGCAAAAGACAUA